rnacentral:tRNA from 1 species
GGUGCUGUAGCUCAGUUGGUAGAGCGCCGGACUCAUAAUCCGAUUGUCGCUGGUUCGAGUCCAGCCAUGCACCACCA